UUCUUGCGUGUAUUUCUAACAAUGGGAAC
rnacentral:piRNA from 1 species